GACGAACGCUGGCGGCGUGCUUAACACAUGCAAGUCGAACGAAGAGCGAUGGAAGCUUGCUUCUAUCAAUCUUAGUGGCGAACGGGUGAGUAACGCGUAAUCAACCUGCCCUUCAGAGGGGGACAACAGUUGGAAACGACUGCUAAUACCGCAUACGAUCUAAUCUCGGCAUCGAGGAUAGAUGAAAGGUGGCCUCUAUGUAUAAGCUAUCACUGAAGGAGGGGAUUGCGUCUGAUUAGCUAGUUGGAGGGGUAACGGCCCACCAAGGCGAUGAUCAGUAGCCGGUCUGAGAGGAUGAACGGCCACAUUGGGACUGAGACACGGCCCAGACUCCUACGGGAGGCAGCAGUGGGGAAUCUUCCGCAAUGGACGAAAGUCUGACGGAGCAACGCCGCGUGAGUGAUGACGGCCUUCGGGUUGUAAAGCUCUGUUAAUCGGGACGAAAGGCCUUCUUGUGAAUAGUGAGAAGGAUUGACGGUACCGGAAUAGAAAGCCACGGCUAACUACGUG
rnacentral:rRNA from 1 species